rnacentral:rRNA from 1 species
UACGUAGGGUGCGAGCGUUAAUCGGAAUUACUGGGCGUAAAGCGCGUGUAGGCGGCUAAGUAAGUCGGGCGUGAAAUCCCACGGCUCAACCGUGGAAGUGCACUCGAAACUGCAUAGCUAGAGUCCUGGAGAGGAAGGUGGAAUGCUUGGUGUAGAGGUGAAAUUCGUAGAUAUCAAGCGGAACACCGGUGGCGAAGGCGGCCUUCUGGACAGUGACUGACGCUGAGACGCGAAAGCGUGGGGAGCGAACAGG